AAAGUACUCCCUCCAUCCGGAAAUACUUGUCUUACAAAUAGAUGUAUCUAGACUUUAUUUAGUUAUAAAUACAUUCAUUUUAUCCAUUUCUAGAACAACUAUUUCCGGACGAAGGGAGUAAUAA
rfam:Triticum aestivum genome assembly, contig: Triticum_aestivum_CS42_TGACv1_scaffold_063542_1DL